rnacentral:rRNA from 1 species
GAUGAACGCUGGCGGCGUGCUUAACACAUGCAAGUCGAACGGAAAGGCUCCUGCUUGCAGGGGUACUCGAGUGGCGAACGGGUGAGUAACACGUGGGUGAUCUGCCCUGCACUUCGGGAUAAGCCUGGGAAACUGGGUCUAAUACCGGAUAGGACCACAUUUUGGAUGGUGUGGUGGAAAGCUUUUCGGUGUGGGAUGAGCUCGCGGCCUAUCAGCUUGUUGGUGGGGUAAUGGCCUACCAAGGCGUCGACGGGUAGCCGGCCUGAGAGGGUGUACGGCCACAUUGGGACUGAGAUGCGGCCCAGACUCCUACGGGAGGCAGAAGUGGGGAAUAUUGCACAAUGGGCGCAAGCCUGAUGCAGCGACGCCGCGUGGGGGAUGACGGCCUUCGGGUUGUAAACUCCUUUCGCUAGGGACGAAGCGUUUUUGUGACGGGACCUGGAGAAGAAGCACCGGCUAACUACGUG